rnacentral:rRNA from 1 species
UACAGAGGGUGCAAGCGUUGUUCGGAAUUAUUGGGCGUAAAGCGCGUGUAGGCGGCUUGGCAAGUCGGGUGUGAAAGCUCUCAGCUCAACUGAGAAAGUGCGCCCGAAACUGCUGAGCUUGAGUGCCGGAGAGGAUGGCGGAAUACCCCAAGUAGAGGUGAAAUUCGUAGAUAUGGGGUGGAACACCGGUGGCGAAGGCGGCCAUCUGGACGGUAACUGACGCUGAGACGCGAAAGCGUGGGUAGCAAAC